GAGGGCCCCGCACAAGCAGCGGAGCGUGUGGUUUAAUUCGAUGUUACACGAAGAACCUUACCAGGGUUUGACAUGCAAGUGGUAGGAAGCCGAAAGGUGACCGACCCUUCGGGGAGCUUGCACAGGUGCUGCAUGGCUGUCGUCAGCUCGUGUCGUGAGAUGUUCGGUUAAGUCCGCUAACGAGCGCAACCCUCGCUGUGUGUUAUAUGUGUCAUACGAGACUGCCGGUAAAAGCCGGAGGAAGGUGAGGAUGAUGUCAAGUCAGCAUGACCUUUAUAUCCAGGGCUACACACACGCUACAAUGGUCUGUACAAUGGGUAGCCAAGCCGCGAGGCGGAGCCAAUCCUGAAAGCAGGCCUCAGUUCAGAUUGCAGUCUGCAACUCGACUGCAUGAAGCCGGAGUUGCUAGUAACCGCAGGUCAGCAAUACUGCGGUGAAUACGUUCCCGGGUCUU
rnacentral:rRNA from 1 species